GGUACAUGGCCAUGACACUGCUGAUAGCUAUAAAGAAAUCAAGUCAAACUUUUAAAAAAUAUUUCCUAACAAGUAAAAAGGAAAUGUAAGGUAUGUUGCGUAUAUAUACAAAACUAAGUACUACAAUUGGAAAACAGAAUGAGCUUUUACAUCAAGUCCAUCUGGUGUUAUAUCAGGGUGUGUCCUAUGGAAAUCCAACCAAGGGUAACUGCCAAGCUAAGCUACAGAAGAC
rnacentral:lncRNA from 1 species